CCUACGGGCGGCAGCAGUGAGGAAUAUUGGUCAAUGGACGAGAGUCUGAACCAGCCAAGUAGCGUGAAGGAUGACUGCCCUAUGGGUUGUAAACUUCUUUUAUAUGGGAAUAAAAUGUUCCACGUGUGGGAUUUUGUAUGUACCAUAUGAAUAAGGAUCGGCUAACUCCGUGCCAGCAGCCGCGGUAAUACGGAGGAUCCGAGCGUUAUCCGGAUUUAUUGGGUUUAAAGGGAGCGUAGGUGGAUUGUUAAGUCAGUUGUGAAAGUUUGCGGCUCAACCGUAAAAUUGCGGUUGAUACUGGCAGUCUUGAGUACAGUAGAGGUGGGCGGAAUUCGUGGUGUAGCGGUGAAAUGCUUAGAUAUCACGAAGAACUCCGAUUGCGAAGGCAGUUCACUGGACUGCAACUGACACUGAGGCUCGAAAGUGUGGGUAUCAAACAGGAUUAGAUACCCCUGUAGUC
rnacentral:rRNA from 1 species